rnacentral:rRNA from 1 species
UACAUGGGGUGCAAACGUUGCUCGGGAUUAUUGGGCGUAAAGCGCGCGUAGGCGGUUACUUAAGUCGGAUGUGAAAGCCCUCGGCUUAACUGAGGAAGUGCACCCGAAACUGAGUAGCUAGAGUACGAAAGAGGGUCGCGGAAUUCCCGGUGUAGAGGUGAAAUUCGUAGAUAUCGGGAGGAACACCGGUGGCGAAGGCGGCGACCUGGGUCGAGACUGACGCUGAGGCGCGAAAGCGUGGGGAGCAAACAGG